UACGUAGGGGGCGAGCGUUAUCCGGAGUUACUGGGCGUAAAGGGCACGCAGGCGGUCGUGUAAGUUUGGGGUUACAGCUCCCGGCUCAACUGGGAGAGCGCCUUGAAGACUGCAGGACUUGAGGGCCACAGAGGGACACAGAAUUCCGGGUGUAGUGGUGAAAUGCGUAGAUAUCCGGAGGAAUACCAAAGGCGAAGGCAGUGUCCUGGGUGGCACCUGACGCUCAGGUGCGAAAGCUAGGGGAGCGAACGGG
rnacentral:rRNA from 1 species